rnacentral:lncRNA from 1 species
GUAAUAGUGACUGUGAACAUAAACUAUGCAUACUAUAGUUUACCAAAAGUGGUGGUGAUGGUGAAUAUAACCUAUACAUAUCAUAGUUCAUCGGAUAGUAAUAGUGAUUAGUGAACAUGAACUAUGCAUAUUAUAGCUUAUCAAAAGUGGUGGUGAUGGUGAAUAUAACCUAUACAUAUCAUAGUUCAUCGGAUAGUAAUAGUGAUUAGUGAACAUGAACUAUGCAUAUUAUAGCUUAUCAAAAGUGGUGGUGAUGGUGAAUAUAACCUAUACAUAUCAUAGUUCAUCGGAUAGUAAUAGUGAUUAGUGAACAUGAACUAUGCAUAUUAUAGCUUAUCAAAAGUGGUGGUGAUGGUGAAUAUAACCUAUACAUAUCAUAGUUCAUCGGAUAGUAAUAGUGAUUAGUGAACAUGAACUAUGCAUAUUAUAGCUUAUCAAAAGUGGUGGUGAUGGUGAAUUCCUUUCUUGUAAUUAAGUUCAUAGUGUAGAUGAAACAUAAACUAUACCUAUUAUAGUUUAUCACUUUGUUUGUAAUAUAUAUAUGCCAUAACUAUACCGAAUAUAACUAACGUGUUCGUUUGUGGGGGUAUAAUGGCUUAACUAUACUUAUUAUAGUUUAUCAUAAUUAUCCAUAGUGGUAAUAACCCUUUUGUAUGUGUAAAGCUUUAAUAAUGUGUUUGUUAUGUAACAUAACUCUAAACUAUACCUAUUAUAGUUUAUUAAAUAUUUGUGUGGGUAGUGAGCAUAAGCCCUUCUUGUCUUAAUUUACCAAUGUUUAUAUUUUAAUGGGUAUAGCCUUGUAAUAUCAUUUAUAUAUUUUCCAUACUUGUGGAGGUAAAAAUCCAUUUGUUUUCUGAUGUAUGUCUAUAUAAGAAUACAAAAUUGUCAUAUAUUGCAACAACACAUAAUCACAUAAUGAUGUAUACCUUGCUCAACAUGUUACAAGGUGAAAUGAAAUUUAUAGUGUUUUUCUGUUAAUAACAUUUUCUGUAACUGUUAUUGGAAAAAUUGUAGAAAAAUCAUAAAAUGUCCAAAUCAAGUUCUGUAACUUCUGAGAGUUUGGAAAAUGAGUCUAGUUUGUUCAUAAUUUUUAUUAUAAUUUUUAAUGACUUCUUACUUGUGUGAAAAAGUCCAUAAUCACAGACUGGUCCGGAUUGAUGUUUGAAAUGAUAGGCAGUUUUGUAAAAAUCACCAUAAAUUGUAGAAAAAUCGUAUGGAGAUGUGCAAGUAGUCAUUUUAAAGCUAAGAAGUGGAACUACAUGCACCUAAAACAGUUUUGAAAACUAAAAUGUUUAAGAUGUCCAAAACAGUCCGUGAAUGGAGUUGAACUUUUCUGAUGAAGGCUGUUAGAAAAGUGUAGUUAUGUUCUUAGUGUUUUAACUUGUAUUCCCCCCCUAAAAACUUGAGAAAACAUGAAAAUGUAGGGGUAUGAACUCACCUUAAGUGAUUUCAGUAGGUAAGUGUUGAAGAAGAGAAGUGUUCAACCCAAGAACACUUGAAGAAUCACUUGAAGAUUCGAAGAUCUAACACAAUUAUGAGAGAGUUUGUGUAAGAUAUCCAUGAUUCGAGUGGAAAUAAUUGAGAUAAUCAUAAAGAGAAUGGAUUAUUCUUACCAAAUGUGGAGGAAAAUCCCAAGAUCAGCCCUCAAAUCUCGAGUUCUAGAGAGGGAAAAUGAGAGAGAAAAGAGUUUGCUCUUUUUG